UUCAGGUGUAAAAUAUUCUAUUCUUUAGCAUGUAAAUGGACAAAGAUUCUGUCACUAAUCAGAGGUUGUUUUACUUAUAAAUCAAUCAAUCACAGGCCCAGUGGAGAUAUAAAACUGAGGUCACUGGAUCUCAGAGGACCUAGAAUCAAUGUGUUCCUCAGAGUGAAGGGGAAAACUGAGUUGCUUGUUUUUCCAAAUCUUCCUGACUGAGAUUCUGGUGUGGGGACACUGAAAAAUUAAUGGGAAGACAUUACCUCAUCCUUCCAAGGUUGACUGGUACAAACAUAAGCCUGAAAAACGGCCCAGGUGUAAGACCGGGGGCCUUACCAAACGCUCCGAGGAGCUGACUAGUGAAGCACACCCAGGAAUCCCAGCGGUGCCUUCAGAAUGUAAGACCAAGAGCCUUACCAAACGCUCCAAGGAGCUGACUACAGCGAAGAACACCCGGGAAGGAACACACCGGACAAGUUGGAAAAAGACCUUUAUUAGUCUGGCCAGACGGCACUCCCAAAGCAAAAUAGCUUAGAGAGGCAACUGGCUCAGAAUCCAAGGCUGUUUUUAU
rnacentral:lncRNA from 1 species